UCGCGCUUAGGUUUAUCUCAACUUUACCAAACUUGAUCACUUGGCUUGAGCUACUGGGGUCCUAAUCACUAUCUAUACCAAUGUUUUGGGCUAUUUUCCUACGUCUUUGACCUCCAAUGUGCCUCAAGGGCUGAUCUCUUGGGUUGUAGACUUUAUCCCGUUAAAAUUAGUACUGUUACUUAACUCAGAUCAAACCACUUGGCCUGGACUAGUAUGCAAACCAUGACAUUUUCCCUUAUUUAUUAUAACAAUGCCUUCAUUGCUAUGGGAAUGAUGCACCCGCUAUGUACAUCGAUUCCGUCUCUUACCUUACAAACUAGUUUUUCAUCAUUUCGGUUCCAUACCCAAACAAGUACUCUAUUGUUUUCACUGCUCUUGAUCUAAUGUUCCUUAACACUUUUAUGCAAUCGUCCCUUUCUCUCGCGCUGCUGAUGCUUCCUCUUCUUUCUUUAAGUUACCCAUUCCACACUCUCUUAAGAGGGAUCAAGUUGUACCUUAUGACUCAUGCUGUGGCCCUCAACUAUUACUUGUUUCCCCUCUUCAGCUCUUUCAAAAGUUCCAACCUCUCGACAAUAUCAAAUAGCACCUAGCCGUAUCACCUUAAGUUCCUCUCAGUGCUGUUCAUCACUGCUUCCCUUGUUUUUAGACAACCUUUUUGUCCACUCGAUUGUUGAAAGCUUUGUACGUUAGGGCACUUACUGACCCAAUACGAAUUGGCAUAUAAAAAACAACUCUAAGGUUUUUGCUAUUUGCCUUUGUCCAUGGUAGUUUUGUUGGCCUUAUGAAAUCUAGGCUUCUCUAUAGCCCUUUUAUUGGAUGAAAAACUGCUACCUAUGUCUCAUCCACUAUUGUUUUUACUCUUAGGUUUUUGAGACUUGGUGCACUCAAACUCGAUCAAUAAUUCCACUAUUGUAAUGGCCCAACUUAAUUCCUGCACGCCUUUAUGUUGCAAUAUGGUCUUUACUUAUGGCUUCAAACCAUUCAUCAAAUAAAAUAGAGCCUCAUUUUGGCUCAUACUUAGGAUCAUUGGCAACAACUUUGAGAACACCCUAUAGUAGUCCCAAACUCUUUACCGUCCAUCACAUAAGAAGCAAGAAAGUGGCUCACGGUCUUUCUUCGACCUUCUAGGCUUCCACUUCCUUGAUGAUGGCUUUCCUUAUCCAUCUUUGGGUGAAUGAUCUUAGUCUCUAUUUUUGGCCUACCGCUCACGAUCUCCAUCCUUAGAUUGUUGUUCUUGAUCUCUCUUGCCCUUACCUUUGUAUUUGGGCAUGGAAAACUCAAACAUGUCCUGUUGCUUGAAAUGUAUUAAGGAUUUAGUAACUAUCAUGGCGCUAGCCAGAUUAUAGACUCCAACACCUCUAGCACUUCCAAAGGGGUGUUAAACCUUGACUCCUUAGGCUCAUCCAAUUUCAAUGCAACCAACAAGGUGUCUUCAUUCUUACUCACACCUUGGCAAACUGUAUGGCCAACAGCACCUUGGUCCCAAACCCAGACUCACAUCUUAUCAAUACAAGGAAUCAACAAUGGGAAUUCAAUAUACAAAUAAAGUUGGCAAAAGGCACUAUUAAUGCAUUAAUUCAUUUAAAGAAAUCCAAACCAACCACAAAUUCAUAAUCAUUAAGUGGAAUUACCUCUAAGGUCUCUUUGCCUUUCCAAUCUCCAAGCUAAAGCUCCACUUCAUAUGCUACUUCAAUGGUUGGGACCUCUUUGGAGUUAACUAUCUUGAUUGUACCAGUCUCUUUAUGAAUGAGUAGGCUACAUCACCAGAUAUGAACAAAUAGGAUGUUCUUACAUCCACUAAAGCAUUUAUCCAUUUGCUUACAACCAUCAAAUCCAUGAACUGAUCCCAUGUGGUGAUUGUCUACUCACCACACGUAACACCGUCACACUUGCAAUGCCACCACAAAAGAGCAUCAUUACUAAAAAACAUAGUCGUUGAGCUUACCUUAGCAUCAUCUGUUGUCCCUACCACUUAAAAGUAUUGCUUAAUGCCUAACACAAACUUGUCCACAUCCUUAGUAGAACCACCUCCCAUGAAUGGCUUCGGUUUAGGCACAUUCGCUUUGGUUCCCAAACCAACACCAACACACACAACCAUCACUUUGUUAGGCACUAGUGAGCAUUAGUCAGCAUAUUAGCAUAGAACACCCAUAGCACAACAGCACUCUUACGAGAUCUGAUCUUAAGCCAAACUCCAUGUGGCCUUAGACAGAGAAUUGAUUUCGUAUGCCUAAGUUAGCUUGCAAAAACUCAAGAAUAGAGAAACACUCAAAGAACACCGAAAAGCAAAAAGAACAAGAAAGCAAAGAAUACAAAGAGAUAGCUAGAAUGCUUUGACACCACUUGUCAUGAGCUGAGACUUAAACUCGAGGCUGACGUGGCUCAUGGACUCUUUCGAUCCAAGAUCAACCUUUAAUCAUAUUAGUGCUUAGGCACUCAAUACUCCAAGGCCUAACUGCCUAAACUACUACAAAAUAGAAGGCAUACAAUGUGUUCGGGGAAAGGCUAGAAAGAACAACAAAAAGUAAGCAAGAGUAAAGUUGUAUUACUUAAUGGUUGCUUUGUGUACGUGUACAAAUAAGGGUGGGGAGCUUCUAUUUAUAGUUGAGGCUCCCUGAUAUGAAUGGUUGAGAUUAGCCCAAUCUAAGGACUUUCAUAAAGUCUAGAGAUUAUAUUAAUUUUUCAUAUUACAAUGAAUCCCUUGAUUCUAGAAGCGAUCCCUUGAUCCUAGCAGUACAAUCCCUAAUUCCAAGGGAUAUGAUUUUGUAGCAUGAUUCGUAGCAUCUUUGAUUUUCUGGAAUGAUGUUGAGCACUGGGCUUUCUAGAAACUCCUAG
rnacentral:lncRNA from 1 species